rnacentral:tRNA from 5 species
GGCGCCAUAGCCAAGCGGUAAGGCAGGAGUCUGCAAAACUCUCAUUCCCCGGUCCGAUUCCGGGUGGCGCCUCCA